GUUCGGGGAUUCUGAAGACAUGCUUCUGGUGAGGAUGGUCGAGGAGGAGGGCUAGUGACAAGGUACCCCGGAGUCCCCGGUCCUCUGGCUUCUUGCUCUACCUGGCUCUCCCGUUUCUUUCUCCACUGCCCCAGAAUCCAGGCCAGGCUGCACCCCAGAAACUGCUUCAUUCUGCAGCCUCAGCCCCAGGCACCACACACCCCCCGUUUUAGCCCUGUCUCCCUCAAUGGCUUGAGAGGAGCCUGGGUCCAGCUCAGACUAAGGCUGGCCCCACCGCAGGGCACCCUCCUGAGGAGGUGGAGGCCUCUCCCCCAUGACACCCCCUUUUCAUUGGCAUGAACUGGGAGCACUCUGCCAGA